rnacentral:rRNA from 1 species
AUUGAACGCUGGCGGCAUGCUUUACACAUGCAAGUCGAACGGCAGCGCGGGCUUCGGCCUGGCGGCGAGUGGCGAACGGGUGAGUAAUACAUCGGAACGUGCCCAGUAGUGGGGGAUAGCUCGGCGAAAGCCGGAUUAAUACCGCAUACGACCUGAGGGUGAAAGCGGGGGAUCUUCGGACCUCGCGCUAUUGGAGCGGCCGAUGGCAGAUUAGCUAGUUGGUGGGGUAAAGGCCUACCAAGGCGACGAUCUGUAGCUGGUCUGAGAGGACAACCAGCCACACUGGGACUGAGACACGGCCCAGACUCCUACGGGAGGCAGCAGUGGGGAAUUUUGGACAAUGGGCGAAAGCCUGAUCCAGCAAUGCCGCGUGUGUGAUGAAGGCCUUCGGGUUGUAAAGCACUUUUGGCGGGAACGAAAAGGACUGUGCCAAUACCACGGUUCGAUGACGGUACCCGCAGAAUAAGCACCGGCUAACUACGUG